UCACUCUCUGCAUUUGCUGCGAUUGUUGCGCUUCCCAGCUCUGUUUCGGCGUCGUCAUCCUCAAUCUCUCUCACAAAUGAUGAUUAUUCUCUUUCUCCGUUAGGUGGCCAAACCCUAGGCGCCGCAAUGGCUUUAAAGGUGUCAUGGCACGGAAGCGUGGUUAUGCCUUUGAUUCAAAAUCUUUCCCGUGUAGCGUCAAAUUACACUUGACCAGCCUACUAGUUUGGAUCCAGAUUUUUCCCAACAUCUACCUACGUACAUACACUCUAGAAGGGGUUGUGCCUAGCUCACAUAUGAAAGAAUGGUGGAGAAGAAGCACGCUCUGUGGAAAUAACACUUUUAUUUAAUAAAGGUUAUGAAAAUCACAUACAAAGGACACUAUUAGUAAGACCAACUCUUUGAAGAGUUUACAAGUGGAAAGAAUUCACUGUUGAGCCCUCAAAUGCCAAAGUGAAUGUUGUGUGUGUACAUUUGAGAGCUCCAGAGUGAAUUCUCAAAUCCUCUUGCAAGCUUCAAAAUCAACAUAAUUCAACAACUAUAUCAUCAAAAUCAAUGGAUAGCAGUUUGAUUUUGUA